UGGUCUGACCCAGUAUGACAGUUCUUAUGCUAGCACAUUAGUGAAAUAUGCGUGUGCUAAGAAAAGCUGUAAAUAAAAGGAAUAGAAACCAAACAAUACAUUUAUCAGGACAUUUGACCACAGAGUAGAAUAAUCAGAAAUGUAGCUGAUUAAUCAUUCACAAUCUCAGCUAUACACACCCACUAUUGUUAAAACAAAGAGAACAGAAAUGGAAGGUUUAUAUAGUUGUUUCAGCCUACUGAAACUACAGUUCUUGAAGUGACUGCAUUGUAUAACGGGCUAUUAAUACAUACAGUAUUUAAAAAGUGCCUAAAAUAUGGGGGGAUGUUGUAUGAAUUACACAAACUUUAAACUGGACAUUUAAGCCACUAGCAAAAUGUUGGUGGAAAAAACUUCAAGCUGAAUAAGUAUAAUUGCAAAGAUGGCCAAAGGAUGAAAAAGGCCCAGAAAACGUGACUUGUGAAAGUAAAGUUGCUAACUGAAGCAAAUCACGAUAUUCAAGAAAUGUCCCAAGAUUGUUGUACCAAUAGUUAUAAUCUAAUUUGUUUAACAUAAGAUGGUGUGACAAGUUGAGCUGUGCGAAGAGACUGGAAAAUUCCAGUUCCAUUUGCAAGAUCUGAAAGAUGAUGUGUUGUUCCCUGACUGAAUGGUUGGAGAAGGUACUAUUUUGAAUCUUCUGAAGAAGUAUAGUUCUCUGUCUGAUUACUCCAUGCUAACAUCUCCAAGAUCCAAGAAUAGGAAACAAGUUGCACCACCUAGCAGAAAUAGAACAAAAUGUUCUGUCUGCUUCAGCAUAUCACUUUCAGCAACACUACAGCCAAUAACCAGUUGAUAUAAGCAAAGUACCAUUCUGAGGGACCCAGUCAAAACUCCAAAUGAAGUCAUCCUCUCAACGCAAGGAUUAAGUAUGAUGAGAGAGCAGAAAAGAAAGCUACAAACUUUGAUGCUUCACGUUUGUUACCACAGCCUCGCAUUACUUUGCCUGACUUUAGAAGCUGGCCAUCGCUCAGAGAAAUUUCUUCAUACAGAAAAGCUCACAUCUGCGUCGUGUCUCAUUGCAACAAUCUCAGUUGGUAAAACAAAGAAAUAAACUGUAAAAAAUAAUCUCAACUAUUCACCAACAACACCAAUGCACCAGCAGCAUACAAGCAAUGGCUGUUUCAAAAAAGGCAUCAUCAAUGUGUUUAUCAAAGCCACCUAUUUUGGGAAUGAUGCUGAUUAUUCUACAUGUUUUUAAGGUGGCCUGCUCAUGAAAAGUUAGGAAAAUUGCAAAAAUCAUACUGCAUCUAUCAAGAGAUACCUUCUAAAAAACCAAGUAGUCCUGUGGCACUUUAGGGUAUGUCUACACUACAGAGAAGAUCGAAGCUGCUGCUAUCGAUCUCCCAGGGUUGGAUUUAGUAGGUCUAGUUAAGACAGCUAAUUCGAACUGAGAAGGGCACUCCGGUCAAUGCUGGUAGUCCUGCUUCCACCAGGAGUAAGCAAAGUCGAAGAAAGAGUAUUCUCCCUUCGACUUCCUGCAGUUGAGCUAAGCUACUUCGACUUCAGCUACACAGUUAAUGUUGCUGAAGUUGCAUAUCUGAAUUCGACCUUGUCCCGAAGUGAAGACAUACCCUUAGAAACUAACGAACAAGUUGGACCACCCAGCAAAAAUAGAAUAAAAUAUCCUGUCUGCUUCAGCAUAUCACUUUCCACAAACAGAACAUGUUUGGAAGGGAGAAAACGAAGGUACUGGGUCCUUCUGGUGACAUCAGUUAUUUAGAUAGGCACCUUUAACUGUCCUUUUCUGUUUUCCAGCAAUCUGUGUUAGCUACUAGUGUACCAGGAAAGGACUAUAAUCCUAUCCAUCCUUUGCUCCACCUAUAUUUGCACUGUCAGCUCCUGCUACUAUAUAUAUAGUAUCAUGAGCUUUCGUGGGCAAAAGCCACUUCUUCACAUGAAAUUAUCUUGAAGUUACCCAUUAACAUGGCUAUCCCUCUGAGACGUCUAAACAGUACGGUGGUAGCCAUGAUAUGAGAAAGUUAAAUAGAUACAAUACCAUUAAUUUUGCUAUUAGCUUCUAUUUUUCAUAAAUUAGAACAUUUUGUUUCCUUAGCCUUGACUAUUAUUGUAAUACAAACACAUGUGCUCCUCUUAAAUGUCAGCAGCAGUUUUCUCAGAAAUAAAGACUUCAGGAAAGGACACAAACGGUUACUGAACAGACGUUACCUGACCACACAUGAGACCUCUAAAUAUCCUAUCAAAUUAAUUUCAGUGAUAGCCAGUCAGUGAUCACGCUGUUGAUUGAUGUUGAUUUAGUACUUCAGGGUCAGGUAAUUAGAAUCUUCCAAAGUCACAAUGUUCUUGGCAGAAAGCACCUUUGGGAGCAAUACUUCAUAUCUGAUCAAAUGCAGUAUGGUCUGAGUUGUGAGAAUCCAUGAGAAUUAGCUUUGGGGGAAAAAUAUUUCUUGUGGAAACUGAAAUGUUCACAAAUAUUCGUAAACUUUUGAUGAGUGCACAGCUCCUGGUUUGGUCCACAUAGAUCCAAGGCUGUCUUGUCAAUUUUUAUAAACUCUUCUUUAUUGUCAGGGUUAUUCCCAAAUUCCCAUUGGGCGUGCGGGUUGAAGGACUAACACUAAUAUGUUACAUUUAACAAUAUAACGUGUGCGUGCGCGCGCACACACACACACACACACACACACACACACACACACACACACAGAGCCAAUCCUCCUGCUGUUUCUUGUGGUUGAAAUAGUUAGAUGCCCCAGAAUAUGAAGGGAAAUAAGGUUAAAUUACAAAGUAUUAAUAUAAACAAUUAAAGUAUGUAGGGAUGAAAUUAGCUGUUUUCACAGGGUCCCUGGACUGGAACCUGGAAUAGAGGGUGGGCCUGGUUUCCCCUCACCGAAAAGGAACUGCCUUUGGGAAGGGGGUUUAUCCAUCCCUGGAAGGGCCACAGAGAUGAUAGAAUUUGGUUUCCCCUCUUUUCCCCAUGCUGGCCAGUGAUGAAAGUAGCUCAACAAAGAGCAAGCUGGUGUCCUAGAGAAAGUGCCUAAACUGAGGGCUACUGUGAGCCUCUGAGGCAUGCAAUCUGCCUGAAAGUGCAGGACUCACUAAGGCUGAGGAAGAGCUCUGUCACAGAGCAUAACAACAGCUUUCAAGGACAUAAAAACAGCUUUACAAGGAGGAGAGAGAAAAAUGAUUUGCCUUGUCCUCUAAUGAUAGGACAAGACUCAGUUUCAGUUUCGCACAUACAGAAUAGGAAGUGACUGUCUAGGAAGGAGUACUGCAGAAAGGGAUUUAGAGGUCAUAGAGGAUGACAAGUGAAACAUGAGUCAACAGAGUGACAUUGUUGCAAAAAAAGCAAACAUGAU